rnacentral:lncRNA from 1 species
AACUAUUUAACUAUAUUUACAUUUAGCUCGUUGAAUUAUAUAUGCAUUUUUUUUUAUUUUAGAAAAUUGAUCACAAAUGAAUAGUUUUUUUUUUAUGUGAAUACAAUAGAGAGGCAAGUUUCUAUAAUAGUUGAUAAACAUAUUUGCACAAAACCUACAAAUAGUAGUUAAUAUUUGUAGUUUGUGAACAGUUUAAAAUGGUUAUGAAUACACACUUUAAAAAGAUGCUACCUGAAUUAUUCAAAUGCAAUAAAAUACACUAAAUAUUACUAUUUAUAUAAAGAAAACGCGAAGUCCAAAUCAAAUUAGUCCAAC